GAGGACUGCCAGGAGAAAGCGAGAAAUAAUAACUGCAUCGCUGGUGGAGUGGCAAAUAUCAACCAAUUAGGCUUGGUAUUUCUAAAAAUUAAAUUAAAUGUACCAGCGAUACAGUUAUUAUUUCUCGCUCUCUCCUGGCAGUUCUC